CAGUAGCCACGGUAACACGAAGGGGGCUAGCGUUGUUCGGAAUUACUGGGCGUAAAGCGCACGUAGGCGGAUAUUUAAGUCAGGGGUGAAAUCCCGCAGCUUAACUGCGGAACUGCCUUUGAUACUGGGUAUCUUGAGUAUGGAAGAGGUUAGUGGAAUUGCGAGUGUAGAGGUGAAAUUCGUAGAUAUUCGCAGGAACACCAGUGGCGAAGGCGGCUAACUGGUCCAUAACUGACGCUGAGGUGCGAAAGCGUGGGGAGCAAACAGGAUUAGAGACCCCAGUAGUCCCUGUCUCUUAUAA
rnacentral:rRNA from 1 species